UACGUAGGGUGCGAGCGUUGUCCGGAAUUACUGGGCGUAAAGAGCUCGUAGGUGGUUUGUCGCGUUGUUCGUGAAAACCUGAGGCUUAACCUUGGGCAUGCGGGCGAUACGGGCAGACUGGAGUACUGCAGGGGAGACUGGAAUUCCUGGUGUAGCGGUGGAAUGCGCAGAUAUCGGGAGGAACACCCGUAGCGAAGGCGGUUCUCUGGGCCAAUACUGACGCUGAGGAGCGAAAGCGUGGGGAGCAAACAGG
rnacentral:rRNA from 1 species